GCAAAAAAAAAAAACCCACAUAGCGUAAAUAUAUUUAUAUCUGUAUAAAUCCAAUAACUCUUCACGCAGAUGUAACGAAUUUGACAUUGCCAGCAACAGAAUCCGAGCACGGCCGGCAGCGUGGAAGCAUGUGGCGCAUUCUCGGAUACGCCUUGGUCGCGGUAUAUUUCGAAGUUUCCGAAACGAGUCUCAGUUUACGCUCGUCUCACCACUUUGCUUCAGCCGGGGAGUCUCCGGUGGAGUUCACCUGCACCUCGAGUGCAGUGAUAGAAUCUGGAGGGGUCCGGCUGCUCUGGUUCAAAAAGAACGCGAGUGAUGUAUUGGAAAGACUGGACACGAAAUGCAACGCGUCCCCGUGCAAAUACACCAAUGAAUCGAACCACUCGGACACCUUCAAGCUGAAGAUUACAAAGACAGAGCGAGAAGAUUCUGGUACAUAUUACUGCGCGCACCCACCCGUUAUGGACCUGGAGUUUUCCAAUGGGGCCGCAUUGAACGUUGUAGCAGACAGUUCAACAGAGACCACUUCUGUGUCUAUCCUGGCCCCCGCUGACUCCGCCAGCGCGCUCGAUUCUGAGGGGUCACUGACAUUAGUCUGCCUGGUCCGGGGCCUCUCCUCGCCCGCGGUCCGAUUUCAGUGGUUUCUCUCUGGUAACGUCACGACUGCAACAGCGCCGGGCACCGGGAUCAAGGAGGGCGGAGACGGAGAGAGCUACAGCGCCACGAGCAGGCUGACAAUCCCGGCGGAGACGUGGCGGAGCGGGGCGGUGUGCGCCUGCGGAGCGCAACUGAACUCGAGCACAGUCAUCCGCAGCAGGGAGAUCUCAUACACGGCGGGAGAGAGCGUUCUCAAGAGGAAAGAUGAAGCAAUGGAAAUGCAUUUAACCAAACAAGUCAUUUUCUUUAUUAGACUGCAGUCCUGCUUCUGGCAUUAUAUUGAACUUCACUUCCAUUCUCAAAGUAUUACAGGAGGGCAUCUAAAGGCAUUGAAGCUGCACCGGAUCAUAUUUUCAAUUGAGAUAACUAGUGCUUAAUGUAUUGUAUAUGCGCCAUAGACUUCAUUAUCUUCACAGUAAAGUACUUGGUAAUUAAGAAUCUGGAAAUGUUAU